rnacentral:lncRNA from 1 species
AUGAUGGAAGCCCAAACUACAGCGCAGCACGAAACGGAGAACAAGAUAUAUUUUCCAUAUGGAAUCCAGGGGAAUUGGCUGAUGCAUUUGAGUUUGCCCAUGUCUGGUUUCAGCAAUCGGGAAGCCAUCAGCAUCGCUCCCUGGGAUCAGGAAAACCAUGGUCCUUGGGUGGGGGCAUUGAUGGCUUUGCAGGGCGGUGGUGGGAGAUCAUUGGCCCCAUUCUGGACUCGGCUUGCCAUGGAGUUUCCAGGAAGGUGUUGGGAGGGGGCAGGGGAUCCACGUCAGAGGAGGGGUCUAAGGAGGCCCAAGCGGACGGGCCUUCGGAGCCUCAGAAAGUGUGAUGGAAAAGGACGGAGGCCUGGAAGGGACGCAGCACUCGGAAGUCAGAGGCGAAAGGCAGCAGCACGAGAAGAAUCACCCAGAGGAUGACAGCAUCGUGUUCUAACGAGACCAAAGGUUGGUUCACAAAGACUAUCUGCCCACAAGGUCUGCAUUUGGGGCAGAAUCCUGGAAAUCAUGUUGCUCUGCGCUGUCCUUUUGUUUGCAGCCUGAGAAGACAAUCUCACAACUUGCAAACCCGACUUUUAAGUUUUCAUUGUUUUAUGAUUACUGUGGUUUGGUAGUAUAUUAAAGCAAAACCCAUCUGUCUAUAAAGGGAAACGAUUUCCCCUGGGAGAAAUACAUUGUUAAACCCGUGGCCUGGCAGCUCCCGGUUUGUCACAUUUAGCAGGUGGAGAUGCUCACCAUUGCUCUCACCUGUUUUUAGAAAAGAUUUGGCAGAUGAGACCCGGAGACCCUAAUUUAGUUGCUAAGAGUCACAUGAGUGGUCAAGUGUAGGUUAGUGUACACUUGACCCCAAGGGAAGCCCUGGUGACCCAGGCUUGCUGCUUCCUCUUGGGCACGGGGUCAUGAGCAUCUUCUAUGUCUGAGGCAAUUGCUUUGCAGUCAAUGCCUUGUGCUCAGAGGAUUUAUCACCAAGCACAUGGAGACAGUUCUAAGCUUUCAACAUCCAGAGACUCCAUAGAGUCUAGCCGGGUAUUGCCGUUAUGUUUCUAUUUGGCCUUCUCUUGACACUCUCCUUGGCUUCUGUAUUUAUUUCAUUUAUGCAUGGAGUAUGUGUCGGUGUGCCUGCAUGUGUGUGUGCAUGCAUGCAUGUGUGUUGGUAUGUGUUGCACACAUGAGUGUGUGUUGGUGUGUGUACUGCUGUAUGUGUUGUGUGUGUCUCUGUGUGCAUGCAUGUGUGUACCUGUAAGUGUUGGUAUGUGUAUGCACAGGUAUGUGUGUACUGGUGUAAGUGUUGAUGUGUGUGUCUGUGUGUGUGUGUGUGCAUGUGUGUGGAGUCCCCAAUUUUUAUGACCCAACCUUAAGCAAAUGAGAAAAAUGCCUGAAGGCCUAACUAGGGCCAACGCUACUCUAAUAAAUAUUGGUUUUGAUAUCA